GCAGCUAUACUGCAGUCGAGCGAACAGAUAAGGAGCUUGCUCCUUUGAAGUUAGCGGCGGACGGGUGAGUAACACGUGGGUAACCUACCUAUAAGACUGGGAUAACUUCGGGAAACCGGAGCUAAUACCGGAUAACAUUUAAAACCGCAUGGUUCUAAAGUGAAAGAUGGUUUUGCUAUCACUUAUAGAUGGACCCGCGCCGUAUUAGCUAGUUGGUAAGGUAACGGCUUACCAAGGCGACGAUACGUAGCCGACCUGAGAGGGUGAUCGGCCACACUGGAACUGAGACACGGUCCAAACUCCUACGGGAGGCAGCAGUAGGGAAUCUUCCGCAAUGGGCGAAAGCCUGACGGAGCAACGCCGCGUGAGUGAUGAAGGGUUUCGGCUCGUAAAACUCUGUUAUUAGGGAAGAACAAAUGUGUAAGUAACUGUGCACAUCUUGACGGUACCUAAUCAGAAAGCCACGGCUAACUACGUGCCAGCAGCCGCGGUAAUACGUAGGUGGCAAGCGUUAUCCGGAAUUAUUGGGCGUAAAGCGCGCGUAGGCGGUUUCUUAAGUCUGAUGUGAAAGCCCACGGCUCAACCGUGGAGGGUCAUUGGAAACUGGGAAACUUGAGUGCAGAAGAGGAGAGUGGAAUUCCAUGUGUAGCGGUGAAAUGCGCAGAGAUAUGGAGGAACACCAGUGGCGAAGGCGACUUUCUGGUCUGUAACUGACGCUGAUGUGCGAAAGCGUGGGGAUCAAACAGGAUUAGAUACCCUGGUAGUCCACGCCGUAAACGAUGAGUGCUAAGUGUUAGGGGGUUUCCGCCCCUUAGUGCUGCAGCUAACGCAUUAAGCACUCCGCCUGGGGAGUACGACCGCAAGGUUGAAACUCAAAGGAAUUGACGGGGACCCGCACAAGCGGUGGAGCAUGUGGUUUAAUUCGAAGCAACGCGAAGAACCUUACCAAAUCUUGACAUCCUUUGAAAACUCUAGAGAUAGAGCCUUCCCCUUCGGGGGACAAAGUGACAGGUGGUGCAUGGUUGUUGUCAGCUCGUGUCGUGAGAUGUUGGGUUAAGUCCCGCAACGAGCGCAACCCUUAAGUUUAGUUGCCAUCAUUAAGUUGGGCACUUUAGGUUGACUGCCGGUGACAAACCGGAGGAAGGUGGGGAUGACGUCAAAUCAUCAUGCCCCUUAUGAUUUGGGCUACACACGUGCUACAAUGGACAAUACAAAGGGCAGCUAAACCGCGAGGUCAUGCAAAUCCCAUAAAGUUGUUUUCAGUUCGGAUUGUAGUUUGCAACUUGACUACAUGAAGCUGGAAUCGCUAGUAAUCGUAGAUCAGCAUGGUACGGUGAAUACGUUCCCGGGUCUUGUACACACCGCCCGUCACACCACGAGAGUUUGUAACACCCGAAGCCGGUGGAGUAACCAUUUAUGAGCUAGCCGUCGAAGUG
rnacentral:rRNA from 1 species